GUUGUUCAUUCGUUGCUAUUAGGGUGUUUAACAAAAAGAAAAAGUAGUAUAUAUUUAUUUUUUUAAUGUGUAGAUAUAUUUUUAAGUUGGUGUACAAGUGUUAUGUAGUUGUUUUUAAAUUUAUUUUAUAGAUUAUUUGUGUAUUUUUUUUCCUUAGAUCUUAUGUAAUUUAUGAAGUUGUUUUCAUGCCUAUUUAACUUGCAUAUUAUAGUAAGUUGUUAUGCAGUUAUUUAUUUGUUGUUUUUUAGUUAUUCAACCAAAUAAAAAUGAAUAUAUACACAUGUUUAUUUUAUUUUAUACAUUAGUGAUGUUUUUUACUUUUUUAGAGUUAUUUUUAUGCCUAUGUAAUUUGCAUAUUGUAGUGGAGUUUAUGCAGUUAUUUUUUGUUGUUAUUUAGUUGUUUAACUAAGAGAAAUAAAUGUAUAUAUAUAUUUUUUAUUUGUGUGUUGUUUUUAUUUUAUUUUUUAAGUUGGCGUAAGUGUUGAUGCUCAAUUAAUUUUUAUAUUAAAAUAAAAUUGUUAUCGUGUUGUUUAUUCGUUGCUAUUAAGUUAUUUCAGUAUUGUAUUUUUUGAAGUUUUUAUCUUAUAAAUUUAUUUUUGUUUGCAUAAUAUGAUAAACUUUAAUUGAUUUAUAUGCUAUGGUUAAGUUGUUUUCUAGUUGUUGUUUAGUUGUUUUGCAAUGAGAAAAGAAGCCUUAUACGUUAAAAUUCAUUUUGUCCGAAUUCGCCACGUGGCAACCACUGCUGCGUUCUGACGCUACAGUUUGUGAGCGUCAGGCAAGUAUGAAUGCUUUGUCCCUCACUCGCGUGUGAGUCUCACUCGCCCACAUAGCCACAUGUGUGCCACACAUCUCCUUGCGCAUCUGGGGGAGUUUUCAAGUGUAUUUUUGUAAAUAAGAAACUUUGAAAAUAGUAUAUUUGAAAUUAAUAAACAAUAUAAAUGUUUAUUUUUGCUUAUGGUAGUAUAAAUGUAUAUUUAAGGUAAUUUUAACCCAAAAUAGAAAAAACCCCAAUAAAACGCCUAUCUUUAUCUCUCUCUAUAUAUAAAACCCCAAACAAAACAAACGGAAGAGAAGAGAAGUCAGAUAAAAAUGUUCAUUUCUUCUUUUUCUUUCAAUUUGUUCUUCGUUAAUAUUUUGAUUUUGAUUGAGGUUGAUAUUCUUCUUCCGUGAAUCUCCAAUUUUAGUUUGAUUGAGAGAUGGCAGAGGUGGUUAAAGAAAUUAGGAAUGGUAAAUGUUUGUUAGAUGAUGAUGAUUAUGACUCUCAAGAUGAAGAUGAAAACGAUUUUAUUAUUUUUGAAGAUGAAAGGAUAACGAGAGCAAGGGAACUUAAAGCUAGCCUACCAGUUUCAGAUUCAUCCGAUGAAGAAGCAGAAGAUGAAUAUGAACAAGACUGGGCCAUUGUGAACAAACAACUUGAAACUGAUGGUUUUCAUGUUGAUUACCUUCCUAAUCAACACAAAAGGAACUGGUAUCAAAAAAUCUUUGGGCAAUUCUUGUUGUAAAUAUACUAUUGAAGCAGCUAAUUUAGCAAUUGUCGAAUAUAACAAACUCGAGGGUGCUAAUUUGGAGCUUAGGGAGAUUAUAAAUGUGAUGUAUGAGAUGACUGGAGGAUUAUAUUAUGCUCUUACACUCCAAUGUACGGAUCGAACGUAUUGCGAAGUUAAGGUCUUAAAAAUGGGUCCCAAAAUAUUUGGAAAUGUUUAGGCCUGCUAAAUAUUAUCCAAGGCCAACAACAACCACAACAACUACUUCAUCAGAAGAAGAAGCAGCAGCCUCCACCUAGAACAAAGGCUUUGUUCAGUGCUAUUUCGAUGUUGUCCUUUAGUUUUGGAGUGUAGGAAGUUAUUACCUUUUUCAUCUUUCGUUAGUUUUCGUUAGUUAUUACCUUUUUUCUUCUUCAUCUUUCCAAGUGGUUUUAGUUCCAUUUUGCUUUGAUAUUCAUGUACUUAAUGAUUCUCGUGUAUUUAUUUUUUUUAAUUUUAAAAAGCUUUCAAUAGGAGAAGUAUUAACUAGAUUUUUAGCUAAUCAACGCGAAGUCAUAACAAAUGAGAAAUUAACUAAAGUUGUAAUAAAUGCUAAUAAUGAACACCAGUGAUUAAAGA